GAUGAAGAACGUAGCGAAAUGCGAUAAGUAAUGUGAAUUGCAGAAUUCAGUGAAUCAUCCAAUCUUUGAACGCAUCUUGCGCUCCUUGGUAUUCUGAGGAGCAUGCCUGUUUGAGUGUCAUUAAAUUCUCAACUACACUGACUUUGAAUUGGUGUGGCUUGGAUUUGGGGGGAAAAUUGUUGUGGGCUUUUUGUAUAGUCUGCUCCCCUGAAAUUGAUUAGCGGUACCUUUGUGGAACUGUCUACAGGUGUGAUAAUUAUCUACAUCUUAGACAUCUGCUGGAAUGCUGCUUUCUAAACCUUACUUGUAUUGACAAUCUUGACCUCAAAUCAGGUAGGACUACCCGCUGAACUUAAGCAUAUCAAUAAGCGGAGGA
rnacentral:misc_RNA from 1 species